UGGGGAAUAUUGCACAAUGGGCGCAAGCCUGAUGCAGCCAUGCCGCGUGUGUGAAGAAGGCCUUCGGGUUGUAAAGCACUUUCAGCGAGGAGGAAGGUGGUGAGCUUAAUACGCUCAUCAAUUGACGUUACUCGCAGAAGAAGCACCGGCUAACUCCGUGCCAGCAGCCGCGGUAAUACGGAGGGUGCAAGCGUUAAUCGGAAUUACUGGGCGUAAAGCGCACGCAGGCGGUUUGUUAAGUCAGAUGUGAAAUCCCCGGGCUCAACCUGGGAACUGCAUUUGAAACUGGCAAGCUAGAGUCUCGUAGAGGGGGGUAGAAUUCCAGGUGUAGCGGUGAAAUGCGUAGAGAUCUGGAGGAAUACCGGUGGCGAAGGCGGCCCCCUGGACGAAGACUGACGCUCAGGUGCGAAAGCGUGGGGCAGCAAACAGGAUUAGAUACCCUGGUAGUCCAGCGCUGUAAACGAUGUCGAUUUGGAGGUUGUCGCCCUUGAGGCGUGGCUUCCGGAGCUAACGCGUUAAAUCGACCGCCUGGGGAGUACGGCCGCAAGGUU
rnacentral:rRNA from 1 species